UGGACUGGUCUGAGAUGCACUGGUCUGAGAUGGACUGGUCUGAGAUGGACUGGUCUGAGAUGGACUGGUCUGAGAUGCACUGGUCUGAGAUGGACUGGUCUGAGAUGCACUGGUCUGAGAUGGUCUGCUCUCCCUGACGUCUGGUUUCCAUCAGAGGCGGCCAGUCGGCCUGCAGCGAAGCCAAGCGGCGGUAUCCAAGGCGCCGGACAAAGGGAGGCAGAGCAGCCUUGAACUCCGAGACGUGUUUCCACCGCCCCGGUGAAAGGGACGCGCUGAUAAAGGAACCAUCUGAUCAAGGACUUGCUUUAUUCUCUUAGUGUUGAGGCCCAUUUGAAAUCUGAAUGUGGUCUAUUUACAUGUAUAUCAGCAUGGAGAGAGAACGAGCGAUGGAACGAGAGAUAAGAGAGAUUUAUAUAUAUGUAUGGAUUUACAACAUGGCCAGAUUUGCAUCGCAUGGGGCCUCUCUCUGAAAAAGUGCCCACACACUUGAUUAGGCCAUACUGUUUGUGAUGGCCGCAGACAGGAAGUGCUUUAUGUGUGGGAAAUCAGAGCCAAUCGAGUGUGAGGUUGUUCCCGGCCGUGCAGUCCAGGGCCCACUGGCCAGUCUCCAUCUAGGAUGGGGGUGGGAUCAGGGGGUGUCAAUCUUCAACGCCUCGUCAAUCCAGGACAAUUCUCAUUGUAAAUCAGUUUUCUCCCGGAGACAUCGCUCACUCCACCUUAAUUACCUUUGUGUGGCCUGAUGUCCGUCAUGCCCACGCAUACCCCCCCCCAGCCGGGCUUGUGGGCCAACGAUCGCUGGAUUAGGCUGCAUUGUGCUCAUCGAAGAAUAAAAGCCCCACUAAGUAAUACGCUAUUAAUUCUUACUGAAGCUUAGCAUUAUGGGCACAGAUGUUUUUCUUUGUGCUGCGUCUAAACUGGUUCAAUGCUGACAAACUUGAGUGCAAUCAUCUAUUUUAAAAUGAAAAAGGCUAAAUAAUAUUGUGACCUUAUAAUGAGGUUUCAUAUGAGAGGAAUCGUUGCUAUUCAAAAAUAUUUGAUAAUGAUUCAAUUGUCACCCUGUUGCUAAAGAUCAUACAAACC
ensembl:lncRNA